rnacentral:rRNA from 1 species
UACAGAGGUCUCAAGCGUUGUUCGGAAUCACUGGGCUUAAAGCGUGUGUAGGCGGAUCGGUAAGUACCUUGUGAAAUCCCACAGCUUAACUGUGGAACUGCUUGGUAUACUGCCAGUCUUGAGCCAGCUAGGGGCUACCGGAACAAAUGGUGGAGCGGUGAAAUGCGUAGAUAUCAUUUGGAACGCCAAUGGUGAAAACAGGUAGCUGGGGCUGUGCUGACGCUGAGACACGAAGCCAGGGGAGCAAACGGG